rnacentral:rRNA from 1 species
AGGGGGCCAUCCCGGCUUACCAACCCGAUGCAAACUGCGAAUACCGGAGAAUGUUAUCACGGGAGACACACGGCGGGUGCUAACGUCCGUCGUGAAGAGGGAAACAACCCAGACCGCCAGCUAAGGUCCCAAAGUCAUGGUUAAGUGGGAAACGAUGUGGGAAGGCCCAGACAGCCAGGAUGUUGGCUUAGAAGCAGCCAUCAUUUAAAGAAAGCGUAAUAGCUCACUGGUCGAGUCGGCCUGCGCGGAAGAUGUAACGGGGCUAAACCAUGCACCGAAGCUGCGGCAGCGACGUUUAUGCGUUGUUGGGUAGGGGAGCGUUCUGUAAGCCUGCGAAGGUGGCCUGUGAGGGUUGCUGGAGGUAUCAGAAGUGCGAAUGCUGACAUAAGUAACGAUAAAGCGGGUGAAAAGCCCGCUCGCCGGAAGACCAAGGGUUCCUGUCCAACGUUAAUCGGGGCAGGGUGAGUCGACCCCUAAGGCGAGGCCGAAAGGCGUAGUCGAUGGGAAACGGGUUAAUAUUCCCGUACUUGGUGUUACUGCGAAGGGGGGACGGAGAAGGCUAUGUUGGCCGGGCGACGGUUGUCCCGGUUUAAGCGUGUAGGU